AUUGAACGCUAGCGGGAUGCUUUACACAUGCAAGUCGAACGGCAGCGCGGACUUCGGUCUGGCGGCGAGUGGCGAACGGGUGAGUAAUGUAUCGGAACGUGCCCAUUAGCGGGGGAUAACUACGCGAAAGCGUAGCUAAUACCGCAUACGCCCUACGGGGGAAAGCAGGGGAUCGUAAGACCUUGCACUAUUGGAUCGGCCGAUAUCGGAUUAGCUAGUUGGUGAGGUAACGGCUCACCAAGGCGACGAUCCGUAGCUGGUUUGAGAGGACGACCAGCCACACUGGGACUGAGACACGGCCCAGACUCCUACGGGAGGCAGCAGUGGGGAAUUUUGGACAAUGGGGGCAACCCUGAUCCAGCCAUCCCGCGUGUGCGAUGAAGGCCUUCGGGUUGUAAAGCACUUUUGGCAGGAAAGAAACGUCGCGGGCUAAUACCCCGUGGAACUGACGGUACCUGCAGAAUAAGCACCGGCUAACUACGUG
rnacentral:rRNA from 1 species